rnacentral:lncRNA from 1 species
GGAGGCCGUCCCCGCCCCGACCCCUGCCCCCGGAGCCCAGCGGGGCGCCAGCAGCCGCCAGCGCCAGCGGGCCGGGCUUCAGGGAGCCUACCUGAGCAGGUGACCUGGAGCCGGUGACUCCGCCGCUCCCAGCGCGUUGGGCGGCGUGGGGACGGCUGUAGCGGCCUGGGAGGGUCCUGGGCACCAUGGAAUGAUCCCACCAGCCUCAGUGUCCCCAUCUUCAAACGGAGGGGCAGGGAGAAGCUCCCUUCACUUGAUGGCAUUCCGUGGACAUUGCUUGCUUCCGCCUGCUCCCCAAGAUCUGGAAGGAAAGGUAAAACAAAGGAGGAAGACGGGUGGGCGGUGAGGGACUUCUGAGACCAGGACCUUCGACAGAUGCUGGAGAGCCGAACCUCUGAGAGCACGUUGCAGACAUCCUGACGCUUCACCUGUAGGAGCAAGGACUCGUCUGCGUUGUCCUCAUCACAGUAAAGACAUAAUGUUGACGUCUUAACGUCCUUUACUGUCAGCACACAGUCACACUUUCCCAGGGAUCCCCCCAAAAACAGUCCUUUGGAGGACCCCAGAAUCCGGUCAAGGUUCAUGCCCUCCUUUUUGCUGUCAUGUCAUCUUAGGUCUCUCGUGGCAUUGACUCUGGAAGAAUUGUUUGGAAGAGACAGGUCAGUUGCCUUGAAAGCGCCCGUGUUUUGAAUUUGUCUUUUUUUUCCUCGUGGUUAGAUUCUGGUGGGACAUUCCUGGCCGGAGUGCUAUGUGGCCAUGUUACAUCUCCUCGGGGAGAGCCCAGGAGACUGAAGCCCAGCUAGUCGGUGGCAGGGUUUAGCUGCAUUUCAGUACCAGAUUUUUUUUUGAGAUUUUAUUUAUUUAUUUGAGAGAGUGCGAGUGCAAGUGUUGGGGGAUGGGGGGGCACAGGGAGAGGGACAAGCAGACUCCCCGCUGAGCAAGGAGCCCCGAUGACGACGUGGGACUCAAUCCCAAGACCCUGAGAUCAUGACCGCAGCCGAACGCAGACGCC